rnacentral:rRNA from 1 species
AACGAACGCUGGCGGCAGGCCUAACACAUGCAAGUCGAGCGCACCUUCGGGUGAGCGGCGGACGGGUGAGUAACGCGUGGGAACGUGCCCUUCAGUACGGAAUAGCCCAGGGAAACUUGGAUUAAUACCGUAUACGCCCUUCGGGGGAAAGAUUUAUCGCUGAGGGAUCGGCCCGCGUUGGAUUAGGUAGUUGGUGGGGUAAAAGCCUACCAAGCCGACGAUCCAUAGCUGGUUUGAGAGGACGAUCAGCCACACUGGGACUGAGACACGGCCCAGACUCCUACGGGAGGCAGCAGUGGGGAAUCUUAGACAAUGGGGGAAACCCUGAUCUAGCCAUGCCGCGUGAGUGACGAAGGCCCUAGGGUCGUAAAGCUCUUUCGCCGGGGAAGAUAAUGACGGUACCCGGUAAAGAAGUCCCGG